rnacentral:tRNA from 1 species
GUAGGUGUAGUUUAAUUAAAACAUUAGAUUGUGAUUCUGAAAAAAAAGGUUGAAGUCCUUUCACCCACC